rnacentral:rRNA from 2 species
UGGGGAAUAUUGCACAAUGGAGGGAACUCUGAUGCAGCGACGCCGCGUGAACGAAGAAGGCUUUCGAGUCGUAAAGUUCUUUUAUAUGGGAAGAUAAUGACGGUACCAUAAGAAAAAGCCCCGGCUAACUACGUGCCAGCAGCCGCGGUAAUACGUACGGGGCUAGCGUUGUCCGGAAUCACUGGGCGUAAAGGGUUCGCAGGCGGAAAUGCAAGUCAGGUGUAAAAGGCAGUAGCUUAACUACUGUAAGCAUUUGAAACUGCAUAUCUUGAGAAGAGUAGAGGUAAGUGGAAUUUUUAGUGUAGCGGUGAAAUGCGUAGAUAUUAAAAAGAAUACCGGUGGCGAAGGCGACUUACUGGGCUCAUUCUGACGCUGAGGAACGAAAGCGUGGGUAGCAAACAGG